UACGUAGGGUGCAGGCGUUAAUCGGAAUUACUGGGCGUAAAGCGUGCGCAGGCGGUCUUUUAAGUCAGAUGUGAAAUCCCCGGGCUUAACCUGGGAACUGCGUUUGAAACUGGAAGGCUAGAGUGUGGCAGAGGGGGGUGGAAUUCCACGUGUAGCAGUGAAAUGCGUAGAGAUGUGGAGGAACACCGAUGGCGAAGGCGGCUGCCUGGGCCAGUUCUGACGCUGAGGCGCGAAAGCGUGGGGAGCAAACAGG
rnacentral:rRNA from 1 species